AGACUCCUACGGGAGGCAGCAGUAGGGAAUCUUCCGCAAUGGACGAAAGUCUGACGGAGCAACGCCGCGUGAGUGAUGAAGGCUUUCGGGUCGUAAAACUCUGUUGUUAGGGAAGAACAAGUGCUAGUUGAAUAAGCUGGCACCUUGACGGUACCUAACCAGAAAGCCACGGCUAACUACGUGCCAGCAGCCGCGGUAAUACGUAGGUGGCAAGCGUUAUCCGGAAUUACU
rnacentral:rRNA from 1 species